rnacentral:rRNA from 1 species
GACGAACGCUGGCGGCGUGCUUAACACAUGCAAGUCGAACGGAAAGGCCCUGCUUGCAGGGUACUCGAGUGGCGAACGGGUGAGUAACACGUGGGUGAUCUGCCCUGCACUUCGGGAUAAGCCUGGGAAACUGGGUCUAAUACCGGAUAGGAGCCAUUUUUAGUGUGAUGGUUGGAAAGUUUUUUCGGUGUAGGAUGAGCUCGCGGCCUUUCAGCUUGUUGGUGGGGUAAUGGCCUACCAAGGCGGCGACGGGUAGCCGGCCUGAGAGGGUGGACGGCCACAUUGGGACUGAGAUACGGCCCAGACUCCUACGGGAGGCAGCAGUGGGGAAUAUUGCACAAUGGGCGCAAGCCUGAUGCAGCGACGCCGCGUGGGGGAUGACGGCCUUCGGGUUGUAAACUCCUUUCGCUAGGGACGAAGCUUUUUGUGACGGUACCUAGAGAAGAAGCACCGGCUAACUACGUG